GGGUGAAGGUGGGGGAUGCUGUAAAGGUGACUAAGACUUGGGCUCAAAAUGUGAGAAGCUCAAAAUCUAGUGAAUAAUUUGAAAGUCUGCAUUUGUGAAGCUCCUAGAGGUCUGGAACUCUCUCUCCAAUUUGCUUUGCCUGGUGAUGACCACUGCACAACGCAAAAGAGAGAAAUUCUCAGUAGACGGGUCAGGUGUGCUUCUGACCUGGGUCCUCUCAAGAGCCUCACGACUGAGAAGCAUGAACAACAGACCUCAGUGGCUCUGGUCCACGGAAGCAAUGAAGGAAAAGACUUUGGGUACCGAUUAUCCAUUAGCCCUUUAGAAGUCCCCUGGAAAAGACACUG
rnacentral:lncRNA from 1 species